AUGCCGCACUCGAUCAAGUUCUUCUCCUCCUCGCCGCCGCGCCCCGUGACGGCCGUCGCCACGGCGUCCUGGUACGUCAGCUUCGGCAGCCCCUUGUUUGCUCCUGCCGCGUUAGAACGGGAAGGCGGCGUAGCUGGUGCCGCCGCAGCCACGCCUGGAGCGCGCGCAUCCUGUGACGGCGCAGAGAAGCGCGACGAGGAUGACCACGACAUCGGAGUCGACAGAGAGGGCGUCAGGGGGAGCUAUGCGGUGGGGAACUGGCCAGGAAAAGUGCAUGCAGAGAUCGCCAUGGAGCAGCAUGACGGAGGCUUCAAGAACCGAAGGAAAAGAUUUGGUAAUUGCAUCGACGAUGAGACGAUUGAAGGCCUCACAAACUCAAAUCCUCUUCUGAGAGGCCACAUGCUGCAGAGUUUAGGGGACGGGGAGGGGGGGAUUGUUGAUGGAAUCAGCCGCAUCCGGCAGAGGACGGGGAUGCUCGAGCUGUUGGUCCACUGUCUACGGGUGCUCGUGGUUCUGGUUGGUUCGUCCAGCUAUGUCUUCGGCAUCGCUCUACAGGGCAUAGCGAAGAUCCGUGUUGAUGGAGUGGUCUCACUUUCAUCAGAUGAGGGGACGUACAGCGCAGUACACCGAGAUUAUUCGGGCACUUAUCUUGGCUCCUCUUCCAUUAAAUGCUCGUGCAUCACUGAUCCGGCGACACUUGAGGCUUUGGCUUGUCGUGAGGCGCUAGCUCUUGCUAAUGACAUCUCAUUAUCUCACGUGGAAGUUGCACCAAAUUGUCAAGGAGUUGUCAACGAUUUCAAGCAAGGAACUGGUGCUACUUCGUCCGACGCUGAGUCAGUCAGCAGCGAAGUGCAGCUACCUGCCACCAUCUUGUGCUUGGAAUGGAGCGGCCUGGCCACAGAUCUGAGUUCAAGAUGUGAGCAUCAAUGUGUGUGUCAGAAGCUGGUGGCAUUUGAUUCAGUGGAUAGUGGGAGGAGAUUCUUAGCUUGUGCACAGAAGGACAUACCUAAAUGCAGCUAUCUGGAGUGGGUUGAUCCUGAGUGGCCUGCCCCUUUGAAGAUGAGCCUAGCUAGGAUCUGGGGCAUGUAUGAAGAUGAGAACAAGCUUAGGCUCAAGGACAAUGUUGUUCAUGCUCAAGAGAAUGUUAGGGUUGUGAGAGAGAAGGAAAAGAUGGAAAGAGACUUUAGGUUUUUUAAGGUUGAUUUUGCUCAAAUGGUGGCUGAGAAGGAGCAAGCUCUUGCCCAGCUAGGCAACACACAACUUGCUCUGGCUGACAUGAAGGAAGAUCUUGAUAAGAAGAAGAUUUCUGACAAAUCAUUCACAACCAUUCAUCAAGUUGUCAGGGCCAAGGCAGAGAAAGAGAGGGACCUAAUGAAGCAGGAGAGGGACAGCAUCAUGGAAGAGAGGGACAAUCUUGUGCAAGAGAGGGACAACCUAGUGCUGGAGAGGAAUGUGCUGAAGCAAGAGAAGAAGAAGUUAGAGUACAUGAUUGGUGAUCUUUUCAAACAUAAGGAAGACACCAAGGGCAAGAUAAGGAAGCUGAAAGAGAUGCUUGAAGAAUUUGAAUGA
rnacentral:rRNA from 1 species